GCCAAAGAGCAAAGAACAAGAAAACAAAACUUUGUAGAUUGCGCUCUGGGCGGAGGAAGAAUGUUGUGCUUUUCUCCCUUUUUCAUGCCUUUCGUUUACCUUUUUCCUCUAUCGAUGUCUCCGCUCUCUACACCGCCCAUCCAUCCAACUCUCCAACGCCAUUAAAUUUUGGUUAUAAAACAGCCAUGAAUGCCCAAAAGCAAAUGAAUCAUCUUCCCAUUUAAUGUUUUUUCAGCUUGGAGGCAGGGGAGAUUUGGUGUGUUCUUAGGAGUAGCCCUUCUUACAGAAGAUAAGUUGGUCUCUGAGAUGCAGAUGAAGCUGGAGUCUGAGUUUCAUGGAUCCUGGCCUGGAUCAUGCAUGAUUCCUGCUUCACCUCCAUUAAUGCUUUCAUUGUGGUUUUUGCAUGUCUGCCCUGUCAUUUCUCCCUGCCAAGACUCUAUAUAUUUUUGUUAGGAGGAUAUAUAUUUUGAAUUCUUUUAGAUUGUUGUUAUUUAGUGUUUUGGGUGUAUGAAUCAUUCAUGGCUUAGAUUUUGAUGUUUGAAUCAUUUUAAAUUUUAAAUUUAAUGUUUGAAGAGUAUUCAUUUUGUCAAA